ACUCACUACAGAAUAUCAACGCAGUGGAAAAGGACCCCAGUCCUUACUUAGUUGUCCGGCCUAAUGCCUGUCCAUUUAUCUAACUAAUACUGCCACCUAGUGGGAAUAGUGGGAAUUCAGUACAAUACCUUUUUGUUAAAUUG